CCUACGGGUGGCAGCAGUGGGGAAUAUUGCACAAUGGGGGAAACCCUGAUGCAGCGACGCAGCGUGAGUGAAGAAGUAUUUCGGGACGGAAAGCUCUAUCAGCAGGGAAGAAAAUGACCGUACGUGACUAAGAAGUCCCGGCUAACUACGUGCCAGCAGCCGCGGUAAUACGUAGGGGGCAAGCGUUAUCCGGAUUUACUGGGUGUAAAGGGAGCGUAGACGGCAGCGCAAGGGUGGAGUGAAAUCCCAUGGCUUAACCAUGGAACUGCUUUGGAAACUGUGCAGCUAGAGUGCAGGAGAGGUAAGCGGAAUUCCUAGUGUAGCGGUGAAAUGCGUAGAUAUUAGGAGGAACACCAGUGGCGAAGGCGGGUGACUGGACUGUAACUGACGUUGAGGCUCGAAAGCGUGGGUAGCAAACAGGAUUAGAUACCCUUGUAGUC
rnacentral:rRNA from 1 species